AAAAUAAUGUGCUAAAAUCCGAAGAAUCAUGAGGUGGUGUUUUACAGGUGGUGUCUUCGUCUAUCCCUACAGCGGCAGGGAGGGGUACAGAGAGGGCAUGGAAAGCCCACCUGAUUAACACGUGGCUCAGAGGCUGGUGCCAACACAGAAAUUUUGGGUUUUUUGACCAUGUGCUUUACUCGGCACCCAGCCUGGUGGCCACAGACGGGUCCCACCUAUCUCUAAGGGGAAAACGGAUCCUAGCCCAGGAGCUGGCAGGGCUCAUUGAGAGGGCUUUAAACUAGGUAAGAAGGGGGACGGGGCUGAAAUAAGGCUUGUUGGAGCUGUGCCAGGGGGAACAAUGGCAAGGCCGGGAGAGAAGGAAAUGGCCCAAAUGAAGUGCAUCUACACUAAUGCAUGCAGCAUGGGUAACAAACAAGAGGAGCUGGAAGCCAUCGUGCAGCAGGCAGGCUAUGACUUGGUUGCCAUCACAGAAACGUGGUGGGACCACUCUCAUGACUGGAGUGCUGCAAUGUCUGGCUAUAGGCUUUUCAGAAGUGACAGGCAGCACAGAAGGGGUGGUGGUGUGGCUCUCUAUAUUAGAGAGUGUUUUGAUGUUGUGGAACUUGAGGCCGGGAAUGAUAAGGUUGAGUCCCUAUGGGUUAGGAUCAGCAGGAAGGCCAACAAGGCAAGCAUCCUGGUGGGGGUCUGUUAUAGACCGCCGAACCAGGAUGAGGAGACUGAUGAGAAGUUCUACAGGCAGCUGGCAGAAGUUGUGAAAUCGUCAGCGCUCAUUCUUGUGGGGGACUUCAACUUCCCAGACAUAUCCUGGAAGAACAACACAGCCCAGAGAAAGCAGUCUAGGAGGUUUCUGGAGAGCGUGGAAGAUAGCUUCCUGAUGCAGCUGGUUAGUGAGCCUACCAGGGGAGGUGCCCUGCUAAACCUUCUGUUCACAAACAGUGACGGACUGGUGGGAGAUGUGGUGGUCAGGAGCUAUCUUGGGCAGAGUGACCACAAAAUGCUAGAGUUCUCUAUUCUUGGCGAAGUCAGGAAGGCAACCAGUAAAACUGCUGUAUUGGACUUCCGGAGGGCUGACUUUGAGCUGUUCAGGACACUGGUUGGCAGAGUCCCUUGGGAGGUGGUUCUGAAGGGCAGAGGAGUCCAGGAAGGCUGGGCACUCUUCAAGAAGGAAAUCUUAAUGGCUCAGGAGCGAUCUGUCCCCACAUGCCCAAAGACGA
ensembl:lncRNA